rnacentral:rRNA from 1 species
AUUGAACGCUGGCGGCAUGCCUUACACAUGCAAGUCGAACGUGAAAGCGGGGCAACCCGCAAGUAGAGUGGCGGACGGGUGAGUAAUACAUCGGAACGUGUCCAGUAAUGGGGGAUAACCUAGCGAAAGUUAGGCUAAUACCGCAUACGAUCUGCGGAUGAAAGCGGGGGAUGCGGCACUAAAGGCUUUUGGCGAAGGUGGCCAAAGGUGAGUCAAGAGCUUUUAGUGCNGCACCUCGCGUUAUUGGAGCGGCUGAUGUCUGAUUAGCUAGUUGGUGAGGUAAAGGCUUACCAAGGCGACGAUCAGUAGCUGGUCUGAGAGGACGGCCAGCCACACUGGGACUGAGACACGGCCCAGACUCCUACGGGAGGCAGCAGUGGGGAAUUUUGGACAAGUGGGGGCAACCCUGAUCCAGCCAUGCCGCGUGAGUGAAG